GUUGUAUUUAAUUAAUACAGUAUAAAGGACACAUGCAAGACUUAAACCAAACCACACGAAAGGCGUUAAACAUAAACAUUACAAAACUACUGUAACAUCAUUGAAACCCACAACAGUAUAGUGUGUGUAUAUAAGUACACAAAGUAUAAAGUUGUUAAACAUUGGUUCCACCCUUUAACAUGGUUCGGUAUUUAGAUGGACAAAAACAACAAGUACUAAUACCACGACCCGGUUCCUCUAGGAUCAUGAAUGGACUGAACCCUGGGACACGGAGAUCCGUUCCCUGACACAAGGCUUCUCCUACAGCGAGGACGGACCGCGGGUUCUCAACAACAUGAAGGCCACGUUCAGACCCAAGGAGAAGUAUUGUGGGGAGACCAGGAGCUGGGACGCUCCCUGGUCUCAGCUCUGGGAAAGAUCUACAUCGUGACGUCUGAGAUCGGCCUCUGCGACCUGCACCAGAAGAUGUCCAUCAUUCCUCAGGUCAACAUUUGUCUUGUAACUGUAGAGUCAGUGUGUCCCUCGUAUAGGAAACGUCUAAUCUGUGGUGUCUCCUCUCGUUCUGCUGUAGGACCCUGUGCUGUUCACUGGCACCAUGAGGAAGAACCUGGACCCGUUCAGUUACCACAGUGAUGAAGAGUUGUGGAGCAGGAAGUCAGUGACACGUCUGGAGUCUAUGGCUCAUACUUGUCUUUAUGUGCAGACUUGACGUUAAAUGAGUCUGUAUGUCACAACAGUAUAUAUCAAGCAACAUUUAAACGUUGGUUCCUCCCUGUAACACGGUUCAGUAUUUAGAUGGACAAAAACAAGGACUCUAAUACCACGGCCCUGGGAAUCCGUUCCUUAAGAGAAAGUUGUAAAGGCUCCUAUAAAUAUAGCCAAUGCAAGUUAAAUACCAUGAACUCUAAAAUCAUGAAUGGGCUGAAGCCUGGGACACGGAAAUCAGUUCCCUGAGAGAAAGUUUUAACUGCCCCUAUAGGCAUAGCUAAUGUUAAUGUAAUAGUAAUUAUGUAACUAAGUAAGUUAAGUAACUUCAUUCUUAAGUUACUUAGUAACUAACUUCUUUCUUUUUUUAGUAACUAUUUUUAAGUUUGUUAUUUAGUAACUUAAGUUAUGUUCAAGAUUUUGAAAGUUACUUUUUUAACACGUUCUAAAAUCAUUAUUUUACUAUUUUAGUAAUGAUAAUUCAUAAUAUAAAUGUUGGCUGACUCAUUUUUAUCAAAAUUCUUCCAUCACUUUUCUUGUUUCCUCUUUAACUUCCUCAACUCUUGUUUUUUUUUUUUUCUCUUCCCUCCCUUCACUGUAAAACUCCAGCUUCUCGUAGCUCUGGGUCCCAUAACCCCCUCCUUCUGCUGCUUGGAAACCGCGGGGGAGGACACGGCCCCCCCCCGGCCUGCUACUGCAGGGAUGUUUGGUGGAUCCAGGCCCCCGGCCACGGAUGGGAAUCGAACCAAUCUCUUGCGACUUCCAGUCGCGGUUGAAACCCACCACGCCACCGACGGCCCUUCACACUUGAACCUUCUUUCUGAGCGCUUUUAAGUCUUCACUUUGGAAUCUGGACUUCAAAAUACACCGACCCUUAUAAGAUUCGAACCCAUGACUUCUAGACUGCCAAGCAGUCUCCUAACAGCCCGCGCUGUUUGACCCGACAGGUGGUUCUAUGACGUGUACAACAUUUGACUCUUCACUUUGGGUGUUGGACUUUAAAAGUCACCAGCACCAACAAGAUCUGAACCCAUGUUCUCAGAGUCUCCAGACAGUCCUCUAUCAGCGUGAGCUAUUUGACUACAAGUCACACAACUUUCUCACAGCUCUUCAGUCUUCACUUUGGGUGUUGGCCUUCAGAUCCACACUCUGAGACUCACCACAGAGAAUCGCUUUGUGAUGGUGUGUGAUAAGAACCUGCAUCAUAACUUCCAUGUGCCUCAGCUGAUUCAAAGACGUCACUUCUUUCUCACAUCUUCUCAAUUUUGACUUAUGCAGUCACAAUACUUGCAGAGAAACAUAAUAUUUCCCAGCGUUUUUCAAUCUUUCCUCUAGAUGUUGGAGAAGAACGACCCUCAACCAAACUCCACCCUUCAUGAUGCCUGAUGAAGCUUCAGUCUGUGACAUGGUCCUACACUACUUUUCAUGUUUUGUUUUGUUUUUAAUCAGCUGUUCCUCAGCAGUCUGUGUGGUGUGGGAGGCUGGAUGGUCUGCUACAAACAUGGAACAUUGAAAGGUGGAAGAAGGUCCUGGUGUCUUCCAGCAUUGGUAGGAUGGCACAGAGAUUACUGGAGGAAGCCAACGCUGCAGCUGACAAUGGCCACCUGAUGAAGAACGCCUUCCAGGAGAAUAACGUCAGUCUUCUGGAUCAUCCUGCGUGUUCCCCUGAGCUAAACCCCAUGGAGAAGGUUUGGGAAGGGAAGUUCACAAAAACGGACAUAAGUUCUGGACGGUGGAUGUCCUUCAUGACGCCGUCUUCACCACAUGGAGCAACGUUCCCAGCAGCCUCCGUGUCUAAAAGAAGUUUUGAUUUUUCUUUUCUUAAAACAGUUCUGCUCAUUUUAUUAUUGAUCAGCUAAAAAAAAACCAAAACAAAAAAACAGCCUGUUUGAGUUUAAAUGCAGCUUUCAAUAAAUUGCUUCUUUUGCAUUUUAAAGCUGUACUUAGAGCCUGAUUAUGAUGCACCAGCACAAAAUGCAAAUAUUUGUACAUUCUCCUCCCGUUUUAAGGACACACACACACACACACACACACACACACACACACACACACACACACACACACACACACACACACACACACACACACACACACACACACACACACACACACACACACACACACACACACACACACACACACACACACACACACACACACACACACACACACACACACACACACACACACACACACACACACACACACACACACGUUAUUGAACUCCAAAUCGUUGCAUUUCCUCUGGAUGUCAGUGCUGAAGCAGAAAAGCCGACUUGUGACUUGAGUCCCAACCUGGAAAACACUUGUGAAUAAUCUAAUAAAUAAUAUAAAAUCCCAGUCAGGAGGAAGGAAUGUGCGUGUGUGUGUGUGGACAACAGCAGCAUUGAAAACAGUGUGGCUUACACUAAUCCUCUUUGGGCACUAAUCAUGUCACUGACACAACAUUUUACAAACACAUCUACCAGCUGAGCUUUGCCAAAUGACCACAUCUGCUCAUCAGAGCUACGCUGUGUACACUGAUGAUGCCUGACAGUCAUGGUGAUUGGGAACAGCUGCACUAAAGGCUUUUGACUUGCGGCAAACGUCAAAGUGGCCCAGAAGAAUAACUGUUAACAUGAUUACACAGCCAUUAAAAAAACGAACACAAGUCGAUAACUGACAGACAGGAAGGUGUCCCUGCGUCUCUCCUCCACAGAUGAAGUCGUACAGCACACAUGAAACAGUUUGAGGUGAAAAUGUUUAGUGAGGCAUGUUUUUUUUUUUCCAUCCUGAGCUACCAUGUUAAAUCCCUUCACAGCUCUUCUGCCAGCAGCCGUGUAAAGUGUCUGUGACGGGAUGAAGACUCAGCCCGUCAGGUCAGAGAGCAGGACGGGCUAAUGGGAUUGAACCAAACCUAAGGCGUGACAGCUCCACUAAGAGUCCCAGACUGAAUGAGCAGAAGGAAACACCUCCACUUUCUGCGCUUUUCAUCAACCUCUUCAUUUUAUUUUAUUGCUUUUUUUUUCCACACUACUAAACGUCCUCAUCUGCAGUGCACUUCAGUUAUUGUUGGGAUAAUGUCUGUCUUCAUCUCCACCGUGGGAUAGUUGGAAACAUUUCUUUUCUAUUCCUUUAAAUGAUUCUCAUCAACACCCUCCAUGUGUCUGUUGUUGUGCACAGAAACUGACUAUAAUUUAAAUGAGUA